GCCGGUGUAGCUCAGUAGGUAGAGCAGCGCAUUCGUAAUGCGAAGGUCGCAGGUUCGACUCCUGUCUCCGGCACUA
rnacentral:tRNA from 1 species